GGGCACCUCGAUAACCGGCUCGUGGCUCGUACAGACGAUUGUUUGGCUCUGUAACUUGCCAGGGACGGCUGACGAUGUGUUU
rfam:Human herpesvirus 4 complete wild type genome